ACGGUCUAGCACAUAGAAGAAUACAUGAAUGAGUAGAUGGACAAAUUAACAAGACAAAGAAUAAAAUGGAGUACAAAAUUCUGUAAAACAUGACACUUGUACUCCCCAGACAAAUUUUUGUUACAUUCAACACUAUAAGAGUACUGGUCAUGAUAGCCACAACCUGACAGCUGGGACCGAAAAGAGAAGAAGUAGAUUAACGGAAAUAACGAAAACUGAAUUCAAAUUAAUACCGUUAGAAUGUCGGGAAAUCAGAGAAAUUACAUGAUAUAUUGAUUAAGUAUUGCUGAAGACUCCUCAGUGGAAUCCCAGUUCUGUGAAAAUGACAAUUUAAAUAUUCGUGGACAUGAAUGAAAAGGUGCUUUCCGUUUAGACUCUCAUGUGAACAAUAUAAAGUUAGAGACGCUAAAAACACGUGUUACAUCACCUUUCACAAAUCAUUCUACGUAGAACGCAAGGUCUAACAUGCAUGUUAACAAACCACCCCAAGUUUAUCAUCUCAGCAAAUCACAGGUACAUUCCUCAUAAUAUUCAGGAGAUAUAAAAAACAGUGAACCCCCCCCUCCCGCGAGUUCCUAACUCAAAGCCUACAACAAAGUGAUUCCCAAAGUGAUUUUUUUCACAUCCAUACUACCAAAUGGUAGGCCAGAAGCAUACUGACACUUCAAGAUGGAAAGCUCCAUAUCAACAAAGUGCAAAGAUUCAUUGCUCGAAACAGUUUCAUAGGCCAGUCGUCUACUCAAAAUUACCAGCGAAAGCUCCAUAUUGAAGCAAACUCUCACGAUGAUCAUCCAAACAUUGUGAUAGGCCUUCCAUACAUCAAAAAGUCAGUACUGAAAGCUCCAUGUCAAAUACACGCAGCGGUCAAUCAACAAUUAACAACCACUUAUUCGCUGAGAAAAAUGUGCUUCUCCUCAAUGUACUACAAGCAAGAAAUGAAUGUCUUAGCAAUCUGAACACUAAGACUUGAGAAUCACCAACAAUUGUGCUGAAUGAUCUAAACACUGGCAAGGGUGUACGGUAUAAGUGCAACUGAGGUACCACGGCUCAAGAUUACUUCGGGAAAUGCUUCUUGUGAAAGUGCUGCUCAAGAUGAGGCAUCAGGAGCGUUGUGGAGUUUUCUGACAGUUUUGAGAGGUGAAGCUCCUAAACCUCUCUGAUCAACUACAAAACCCAAGUGUUGAAGAUUUUCCCUAAAGAAGUUAAAUUUACUGUUAUAUUGACAUCUUUUAAAUUAUUGUACAACCCUUGAUUUGUUCCGUGAAAGUUGAACAACACAAGACAAUGUUUUCUGAACAUAUAAAUAUUGAAGAGUUACAAGGACUUGAAGAGGGUUCUGCAACCCCCAAUUGAAACAUUUCAUAACAUUUUUUAUUUAGAUUUUCCAACAUGUAAGAAGAAAGUCUAUGAGGUCUCUUUUUGAGAAGAGGAUGAUGCUCCCCUGUAUCAAUGUCAGCUACAAUUUUGUCUGUGAAACCUAACCUUUUUUCAGAAGAGAUCUCAACUGAUCACGUUUCUCAUUUCUGCUCUUUGUACCUCUGUAAGAUUCCUGCAAAGACCUACAUUCGAGUCAGUUUUCUGGAGUUUCUGAUGGAAUAUUUAUGUUUUGCUCAAGUACACCAUCAACUUGCCAACAAGAUUCACUGAAAUUUAUUGUAAUUUUGAAUACUUCACAAAAGUCAUCACCCAUAUAAUUAGUCCACAUCUUAUUUUGCAAGUAUUUCCUAUACAGACAGAAACAUCACAAACUCCAAAAACCAUCUGUCCCCCACCAUCAACUGUAUUCACAACUUUUUUCAU